rfam:Myotis brandtii contig299148, whole genome shotgun sequence.
GGCAGUUCUCGGGCAACACACCCCGGAACUGGGCUUCCUCCUUUCUGGUUCUGGGUUGUUACCUGAGAAGCC